CAGACUUUAAUAAAAGCAGCACUGAUUGUUCAGACUGUGAUGCAUGUUGCAAUGGAUGUCCAGACUCAACAACAUGCAGCACCACUGCUACAGUGUCUUCUGCUCCUCCAAGUCCCAGUGAGUAUGGCUGGAAUACCACUUCAAGGGU